rnacentral:rRNA from 1 species
GCACACGCACUACCGUUGACUGCAGCUCCCGGGCACGGUGGCCCGACACCCCCUCGCUUCGCCAAACUGGACUUCGCCACUUACGACGGCACGGAGGACCCCCUUAACUGGCUCAACCAGUGCGAGCAGUUCUUUCGAGGGCAGCGGACGCUCGCUUCGGAUCGUACCUGGCUCGCGUCCUAUCAUCUCCGAGGCGCGGCGCAGACUUGGUACUAUGCCCUCGAGCAGGACGAGGGCGGCAUGCCACCAUGGGAGCGCUUCCGGGAGCUUUGUCUCCUCCGGUUCGGGCCUUCUAUCCGCGGGAGCCGACUAGCGGCCCUCGGCCGCUUGCCUUUCACAUCCACGGUGCAGGACUACGCCGACCGCUUCCAGGCCCUGGCAUGCCAUGCGCCGGGCGUCUCCGCGACUCAGCGCGCCGAGUUAUUUGUGGGCGGAUUACCGGACCAUAUUCGCGUGGACGUCGAGCUCCGGGAUCCCCCCGACCUCCAGACGGCCAUGUACUACGCCCGGGCCUUCGAACAGCGGGCUCAGGCGCUGCAGCAACCGGCCGGCCGGGGCGGCCGCCAUCCCAGUCGACCCGCGCCGACUCCACCAUCACCGGGCCGGCUUCUUCCAGCCACGACGACCGCACCUCAGGCCACCACCCGGACCUUCCGUCGGUUGUCACCAGCCGAGCAGCAGGAGCGUCGCCGUCAGGGCCUCUGCUUCAACUGUGAUGAGCCCUACACGCCGACCCAUGUCUGCCCCCGCCUAUUUUACUUGGAGACGGUCGACUACACCGAGGCGGACGACUCGACCGACGAGCCACCAACCGCGGCGGCCGCGGAUUCCACGGCGACGGCGUGCGUCGUCUCCCUCCACGCUCUCGCCGGCAUCCGUGGCGAACGGACCAUGUUGUUACCGGUGACAGUCCAUGGCGAGCGGCUGGUGGCCCUGCUGGAUACUGGCUCCACCCAUAACUUCCUGCCCGCGGCGACCAUGCGUCGGCUAGCACUGCCGACCACGGGCGGGGAGCGCCUGCGGAUCACGGUGGCAAACGGCGAUCGCCUCCGGUGCCAUGGGCUCGCCCGCGACGUUCCCAUCUCCAUCGGUGGCGAGCACUUCUCCAUUACAUGUGCAGGCAUCGACCUCGGCUGCUUCGACUUCAUCCUCGGGGUGGAUUUUCUCCGGACCCUCGGGCCCAUCCUGUGGGACUUCGACGCACUCUCGAUGACGUUCUGGCGGCUGGGCUGCCGCAUCCGGUGGGACGGCCUUGGGGGCGCCGCGCCAGCCGUGCCACACCUCCAGCUGGCCGCCGCGUCCCAGGAGGCCGAGCACCCCCUGCUGGAUCCCCUUCUACAGCAGCACAGCGACCUCUUCGACGAGCCACGGGGUCUUCCACCCGCCCGGGUGUACGACCAUCAUAUUCACCUCGUACCGGGCUCCACCCCCGUGGCG